rnacentral:miRNA from 1 species
UACCACUGUGUGUGUGUGUGUGUGUGUGUGUGUGUGUACACACACACACACACACACACACACACGUAUGUAUGUAUG